UACGAAGGGGGCUAGCGUUGUUCGGAAUUACUGGGCGUAAAGCGCACGUAGGCGGCUUUGUAAGUUAGAGGUGAAAGCCCGGGGCUCAACUCCGGAAUUGCCUUUAAGACUGCAUCGCUUGAAUUGUGGAGAGGUAAGUGGAAUUCCGAGUGUAGAGGUGAAAUUCGUAGAUAUUCGGAAGAACACCAGUGGCGAAGGCGACUUACUGGACACAUAUUGACGCUGAGGUGCGAAAGCGUGGGGAGCAAACAGG
rnacentral:rRNA from 1 species